AUUCACGCAUCCGCACUCGGCGGCCUGAGCGCGUGGGGCAGCGCCUCGCCCUGACGGCGGCUGGUCCUCCGGCUGCUCCGCGAGCCGCUCGCCGGCCUCCCCCGCCCCGCGCUCCCUCCCGGAGCCCUCCCGCUGCUCCUCCUCCACUGCCUCCUCCCCUCCGCGCGGCGCUGACAGGCAGCCUCCGCGGGGAGAGUGCAGAAAAGAAGAUCCCACUUUUGAAACAAUCGGAACCCAAGGCAUCCUACCAAAGCCAAAGCCCAACGGACGGCUGUGCAUGUGCUGUCCUUUCUUGCAGUUUAUUCUGGGCCUGUGUGGAAUAGAAAGACAAUUCUUUGACUGGUAGGAAAGAAAAGAGAAGACUCCUCAGGGUUUCCAAGGAAGACUGGAGCAGCUGCUUUAGUAAGUAAACUAUACCUCUGUAUUUCUUGCUUCUUGUCUCUAAAGUGAGGUAUAUACUGAAUGAACGGUUUUUCCCCGAUGCUAUGGGCAGUUUGUUCGUUUUACCGGGGAAGUUGACUUAUAUAACUUAAGUAAUUCCUAAUUGAGAAGGUUUGCUAAGAUUUUUUUUUUUUUUUUUUUUUAAAGAGGUCUGACUUCAGUAUGGUCAACACUGCUGGGCAUCUGAUUUUGAACGCUUAUUGUUCAAGGGCUAUGGGAAGCCUGGUUUGUGAAAUGUUGGUUGGUUCUAAGAUUUAAGCACGGUUACCUAGAAAAAAGCUUGAAAAUUCUAACUCUAAUUGUUCGCUUCUGCCACCUUCAACCUCACCUUAAUCGACGCCAACUGCCAUCCUUCUCUGACUUCACUUGGUAGCUUGUUUUAUCUUUAGUUCUGAAGAGAGCUUGUUAAAAAAAAAAAAAUGGGUCAAGGAAGUUAAUAUAGGUGGUUUAAAAGACUAGAAGAAAACCACGUUGAGGUUUCUUUAUGCUUGUAGGUAGAUGAGAUGUGGAAGAAAAUCCUGGAAUUAGCCUAGUUUUGAGAAAUUUGGAUAUAAUUAAUUGGGAGAGGGAAUGUGAAAAAUGCUUUGGAGAGGGCAGGAGCUGAGGCUGUGACUUUGACACAGCAGGUUAUAAACUGUGACAGGGGCUCAGCAACGAGUGACAGGUUUAAGGUGUCUCCUAGGGCUGAAUAUCUCUGCAUCAAAAAACUUUUGCAGGCAGUAUUCCUCUUGGGGCUAACAUCACCAUAUCAGCAGCUGCAGCAUUUCUGUAAAAAUAAGUAGGACACUCUUCCUCUCUCUGUGAAAGGGUUAAUGAUAUCUUAAAAUUUCAAAAAAAAAAAAAAAGAUAUGGAUUCUAACACUUGCCAAUAUUUUGUAAUAUCUAAAUAAAACCUUUGUGUUAUGUCAGGAAAAAUAUAGUUGAGUCAGUUUAUUUUUCACAAGAGGGAAUCAAUAACAUUUCAGCCUUUUUUUUUCUUUAUCACUGCCAAAUGGACUCAAUCUAAUUUUUCCUGCAUUGUUACAUAUACAGUAUGUACAGUAGGAAUUGCAGUUUAGAUAAAAAAGAACUGAUUUUUAACAAAGUUCUUUGACAUAAUAACACUCAUGCUGACUAGUGUAGAAUAGUGAUUAGAAAAAGUUUUAUUUUUAACUUCCCAUUUUCUGUCUCAGUAUAAAAUACACUUUUCUAACCAAAUCCCUUUAAGAGUUGGAAACCAGAUUGAAAAUUAAAACCGCUGAUCUCCUGGAUAAUUUAUUUUUAACAGAACAAUUUACUAUCCAAUAAUACCUAAGGGUUUUCUUAUAUUUGAUUGCUAACAAUGGUAAUGUGAAAGAAAAUUAUAUUUACUCAAGUAAAUAUAUAAAAGCAGCUAUAUUCAUUUGGCAUUUUUUUUUUAAAUUUUAAGAGUGAACUGAUGUAUGAUGGUUUAAAAAAAGGAAAGAUCUUUUAGAGUUGUGAUGGCUAUUCAAUGUCAAAAGCUCUGAGUAUCUUGGGACAUAAGUUCUUAAGGUAAUGAAAUAACAGUAGGACAGUUGAUGAAUUUGUUGACAUGAAGUUGAUGAAUUAUUUGACAUAGAUGGAAAUCAAUUGGGAAAGAUAUGUCAUUGUUUUUUGUAUAUUACUUUAUUUCCUAUCCAAAUGGCUAUUCUUAGAGGUAUUACUGCACUCAGCUGCCAUUUCUAGUAUUAGUUUAAAAUGAAUUUAAAUAAUUUAAAAGAAAGCUCUAGAUCAGAUUUGGAUCAUAGGAAGUGACCUCUAAUCAUUUGUGACCUCAAAUAUCUGGAAGGAUAUCUGCUGUUUGGAAAAAUAAUUAUUGAAAAAUAAAAAGUGAGAUUGUACUGAAGUAUCCAGAUUUGAGAGUGGUUCAAACACGUUAUUACAUACAUUACUUUAAGACACGUUUACCACAGAAGAAAAGACAACACAAUUAUCGAUCCUGUUUGAAUUCCUGAAAGAUAUACAAUUAACAUGAAAGCUAAUCUGACAUAGAUUCUGUUUCCAAUUAUGUCGUAGUGCUGAGGAAGAAAGCCUGAAUUAAAACAAUUUCUAGUAAAGCUUACACAUUUGAUCACUGUCUCUCUAUAAUAAUAGAGAAAAAAGUGAAAGGUGGAGAGGGCGAUUGUCAGUUUUAUUGUCAUCAGCUUUUUGUGCAAUAUAGAGGUGGUUGCAACUUUAAAGUUGAAAAAAGAAAGUUGCUAGUGUCAGCAGUUAUGUGUUUUAUUAUGCAAUUGUUCUUGUUAUUCAGAUCAGAUAAUGGCCCUAUGAAAUACAUAAGCAGUCUGCAGGGAAUGAAUGAUUAAUUCCUUUAAACGUGUGCUUACUAAAGGAGUUCUUACUAAUAUAGUGCUAUAUACCUGCAUUUGCUAACAGUUGCAGUUGGUGAAGACAAACAUACUUUUCUUUAAAUAUUAACCCAGAAUUUACAGGUGUAGUCUGUAACUAUCCAUACCUAAUUAUCAUUUUGUGGACCACAUGAUCUUACAUUUUAUGGAAACCUUUGGAUGUAAUAAUUAUUUUCUGAAAACUUUUAGUUUAGAAAGUGAGACAUUGUUAGAUGUGAUUGUGGAAGGCUGAACUAUUGUUAAAAUAUACUUUGUUAUCCCCUCUAUGAAAUGACUUCCUAUCUCUCCUGUGCAGUGUGCACAUGUAACCUACAAGGGCAAAGGACAUUUUUCAUUAGUAAGGUUAAGCAUAAGAAAAAAGCUAAAAUAUUGCUGGUUUGUAUAAAAUAAUUAGCUGGAUGCUAUGUUAAAAUAAUAGGAAUGGCUAAUAGUACACAUAUGACAAUUGUGGUGACUACUGGUUAAAUUGUUUUACAGUUAGAAAAGUAUCAUUGAUGUAACUUCCAGUAGCUCUAUGUUUCUAAGACUAGAUUAUGGGAGAAGGUGGGGAAUGGAUGGAUUUUAUGUGGUAAUUUGAGAGCAGGUGACCUAAAACACAUGCUAAACACUUUAAAUUCACCUAUCCACGAUCUUAUUUUUUAGGCGUUUUCUGAAAAAAUGUGAUUUCCAAAGUUGCAUAUUUGGGUAUUUAUCAGUAUAGCUUUAUGUAUCUUCCAGAUUUAAUACAGCAAACAACUUUAUUUCAAGAUUCCUCUGUUGUGGGAGAAAAUAUUGAAAUUGAAAAAUUGAAAUUGAAAAAAUCAAUUUCAAGAAUGUCUGUUUGAACUUACACUGAAUUUAUUAAACUUUAACAAUGCAAAUUCUAUGAAAAUACAUACUUGAUUAUGCUAAUUUAAAAGUUAUAGUGAAAAUUGAGUAAAUGGGAUUUUAUAUCCAAUUGAGUGCAUUUUGAAUUUGUUUAUCUCAUGUAUUUAAAUGUAAAUUCCUAUGACUACUGUCAGUUCGCUGGGUUUUAAUCAGGUUGUUCACCAGCAUCUUGUCAUCCAUAAUAAAUUAAUUUCCACUGGUACAAUUAAACAAUGCAGAAGCUAACUGUACUUGCAUUAAAGGUUAUGUUUGUUCAAACUCUUUAAAAAAGUGUUGAAUGAAGGAAAAUGAAUGUAGAACCAAAAUGAAUAUAACCCACCAGGUGAGCAUUUAUGGGAUUGUAAAAUCAGAAAUUUUGUGUUUUCCUCUUAUCUUUAUAAUUGGCUAUGUGACCCCCAGAGAGGUAACCUGGACUUUCUGGACCUGGGUUUUCUUCUUUGACAAGCAGAGAGAUUAGUCUACAAUUUGAGAAUAUUUCAAUAACAAAAUCUUACAAACAUAUAGUUAUUUAUAUAAUUAAUGCUUGGUUUGUAGCAAAUUGUUGGAGUACUCUAUGGCAGCUUGAGCAUCCAUGUAGAAAUUGGGGCAGCUACCUUGUUUGAAUGAGGGCUAAGGAAGUUUUCCUGAAGCCAUAUUGGCAAUGCUUGGACACUGGUGCUGUGUGUAUUGAAUGUUUAUUUGGAGUGGUUUGGAGGAGGAGGAUGGAGGUUUUUGAAGGAAGGAGGUUGAUUAAAUUUUCUCUGCACCACCUUUUCCUCUUGUUACUGAAAGAAUAUCCUCUAGCGAGGUAUUUUUAGAUGUGUUGCUCUGUUCAAUACCAGAAGGAUAUGAGAAGAUGCAAAUAAAAGAAAUUACUUAGUGCCUUUUGACUUUCUACUUUCUUCUCUUAAUUAUUUCAUAUAAGCUAUUUUAUAAUAUCAUGUCUAGAUAAAUAUACAAGAUUCAACUCAUAUUUUUCCCGAGAUGCCUAUUAGGCAUGUCACAGGUAGAAGAAGCUAGAAAAUUUUAUUUUAACCUCUGUGUUUUAAAGAGGAAACUGAAGACUUCAAAGAUAAAAAACUAUAAAAGUAAAACAAAUUUUCCAAGUUCACAUAGAGGUUUUACAUUAGAGAACAACAGUAUUUAAAAUGCUACAUUGGCAAGAAAAUACAUAGACAACAAUUUAUAUACCUGUUAGUAAAUUAGCAGUUAACAUUUUCAUUGAUGGUGUAGGAUACAAUGCAUUUCAUCUAGAAAUACUUCAUAAUAACCAAACUUUUAAUCUGGGAAAAUGAACACAGCGAAAGAAUACAUGUGGUGUUAAUUUAAUUGAUUUAAGUGCUCAUUUUUUCCAUAGAAAACCAAUCAUUUAUUUAUUCAUAGAUAUAAUUCAUGUUAUAUAAUUGAUGAAAUUGGAAACUCCUUCCCCUAUAAGAAAAUCAGUGUGCCCAGUCCUUUGCUUUUCUGAUAGAAAUGUUAAACUGGUAGCCAGUGACCUUUAUCCCUAUAAAUGUUUUAUAUUUUAAAUCAUUGGAGAUCAUGCUAUAUUUAAGAUUUAUUUACUUCCAAAUGCAAAUUAUAGCUGAAUAAUUAUAUUUUAUUUGCUUUUCAUCAUGUUUUUGCAUGUGUGCAGGCAUGUGUGAGUAUGUGUGUUUAAACACAUCUGUUUAAGGUGGAACCUAGUGAAAAUAGUGCGCUUAAAAAUUUUAGGAAUUCAUGCAUGCUAAUUGAAUAGUCAAAGAGAACAUAUAUUAUGGUGUAAUGUAUCAAAUUGCCCUCUCAUUAAUCCUUAAAUCGAAUAAAGUACCAUAUUACCAAAGCCUUACCCUUGUAAUAAUUUCACAUAUUUUGUAAAUACCACACUAUAAUAAUUAAAUAUUCUUAAAGUUGAUAUGUAUAGAAUUGUGAGAACAUAAUUGCUAUUCUUUUCAUCUGUUAUUAUGGAUCUUACUUACCUGUUUAAGUGUAUGUACUUAUAUUAGAUGCCAAAAAGGAAAGGGACAAAUUCAUAUUUGUGUAUGAUAUGGUAACUUAAAAGCAACCAUCUUUAACCGCAGAUUAAAUGAAUGUAAUUUUAACUGAGCUGCCUUAUUGUAAGACCUGUUGUAUACAGGAUGCUACCUGAUUUGCUUUACCAGACAACAAAAAAUACCUCAUUUAAACACAGAAUUAGGGAACCUUUAUAAAAAUUCCAUUUUAAGCAUGAAAGUAUGUAAGCAAUCAGCUACACAAGUCUGUUAGUGCAUUUAUUGUAUUGAGACUACUGUGAAUUAUACUUUAAAAAGACUACCCCAAGUUAUAUUUCUCAGAUAUAGUUUGUAGCAUUGAAAAUGAGACCUUUUCAGAAGCUGCAUGAACAGAGAACAAAGCCAGGCAAGCAUGUGUGCAUACUCUCCUUUUUACUACUUACCAGCUAAACACAUGCAUUAUGGGAUUUGUAUCACAGGAUAUACUCUCAUUUCUUUCAUUAGACUAUCUGGGAAGCUUAGGGCAAAGCCCUCAAACAUAGCUUACUUGCAGUUCUAGGAAAGGUUAAUUCAGAGUUCAGAACUGGGUGUAUAUGAGGUGAAUAAGAGCAGUAGACUGUUACCUGUUUUUAAAUGAGCUGUUCUAGGCCAUUUGUCCAAGACAUUUAUUUAGGAGGAAAAAAAUACUCAUUCAUGCUUGUAUCCCUGAGAUGUUGUCCCAGUAGAGUGACCUAGAAUCCUUAUGGUUAAGAACAUAAAUUCUACUUAGAGGUAGAAUAGGGUUAUAGAGUGGAGAGGAU
rnacentral:lncRNA from 1 species